GAACGGUAGCAGACAAGAGCUUGCUCUUGUGCUGACGAGUGGCGGACGGGUGAGUAAUGCGUAGGAAUCUGCCUGAUAGUGGGGGACAACAUUCGGAAACGGAUGCUAAUACCGCAUACGCACUACGGUGGAAAGUGGGGGACCUUCGGGCCUCACGCUAUUGGAUGAGCCUAAGUCGGAUUAGCUUGUUGGUGAGGUAAUAGCUCACCAAGGCGACGAUCCGUAGCUGGUCUGAGAGGACGAUCAGCCACACUGGGACUGAGACACGGCCCAGACUCCUACGGGAGGCAGCAGUGGGGAAUAUUGGACAAUGGGCGCAAGCCUGAUCCAGCAAUGCCGCGUGUGUGAAGAAGGCCUGCGGGUUGUAAAGCACUUUCAGUAGAGAAGAAAAGCCCAGGGUUAAUAACCCUGAGUCUUGACGUAACCUACAGAAGAAGCACCGGCUAACUCCGUGCCAGCAGCCGCGGUAAUACGGAGGGUGCGAGCGUUAAUCGGAAUUACUGGGCGUAAAGCGCGCGUAGGCGGUUUUGUCAGUCGGAUGUGAAAGCCCUGGGCUUAACCUGGGAAUUGCAUUCGAUACUGCAUAACUAGAGUAUGGUAGAGGGAAGUGGAAUUUCCGGUGUAGCGGUGAAAUGCGUAGAUAUCGGAAGGAACACCGGUGGCGAAAGCGACUCUCUGGCCUAUUACUGACGCUGAGGCCCGAAAGCUAGGGGAGCAAACAGGAUUAGAUACCCUGGUAGUCCUAGCCGUAAACGAUGGGCACUAAGUAGAGGGGAUUCCGAUAUUCUCUCUGCCGGAGCU
rnacentral:rRNA from 1 species